UGCACCCGUGUGUGCUUUUGUUGACUUGGCUGAUGCAGCAGACACAAGAAAACAGGGGCAGAAGUAAACCCUCAUUUGCAACCCAGAACUCACUGUUCAGUGUGAGUUUUGAUGUAUGUGAGAAGGGAUAUG
ensembl:snoRNA